UACGAGAGGCCCAAACGUUAUUCGGAAUUACUGGGCUUAAAGAGUUCGUAGGCGGCAUGAAAAGUAGGGUGUGAAAGCCCUCGCUCAACCGAGGAAUUGCGCUCUAAACUGUCGUGCUCGAGGACCUAGAGGUGAGCAGAACAGAUGGUGGAGCGGUGAAAUGCGUAGAUAUCGUUUGGAACGCCAAUGGUGAAAACAAGUAGCUGGGAGUGUGCCGACGCUGAGACACGAAAGCCAGGGGAGCGAACGGG
rnacentral:rRNA from 1 species